AUAAUGCUUCGCUUCUCUUCGUAUGCGGCGGACGGGUGAGUAAUGCCUAGGAAUCUGCCUGGUAGUGGGGGAUAACGUUCGGAAACGGACGCUAAUACCGCAUACGUCCUACGGGAGAAAGCAGGGGACCUUCGGGCCUUGCGCUAUCAGAUGAGCCUAGGUCGGAUUAGCUAGUUGGUGAGGUAAUGGCUCACCAAGGCGACGAUCCGUAACUGGUCUGAGAGGAUGAUCAGUCACACUGGAACUGAGACACGGUCCAGACUCCUACGGGAGGCAGCAGUGGGGAAUAUUGGACAAUGGGCGAAAGCCUGAUCCAGCCAUGCCGCGUGUGUGAAGAAGGUCUUCGGAUUGUAAAGCACUUUAAGUUGGGAGGAAGGGUACUUACCUAAUACGUGAGUAUUUUGACGUUACCGACAGAAUAAGCACCGGCUAACUCUGUGCCAGCAGCCGCGGUAAUACAGAGGGUGCAAGCGUUAAUCGGAAUUACUGGGCGUAAAGCGCGCGUAGGUGGUUCGUUAAGUUGGAUGUGAAAUCCCCGGGCUCAACCUGGGAACUGCAUCCAAAACUGGCGAGCUAGAGUAUGGUAGAGGGUGGUGGAAUUUCCUGUGUAGCGGUGAAAUGCGUAGAUAUAGGAAGGAACACCAGUGGCGAAGGCGACCACCUGGACUGAUACUGACACUGAGGUGNGAAAGCGUGGGGAGCAAACAGGAUUAGGUACCCUGGUAGUCCACGCCGUAAACGAUGUCAACUAGCCGUUGGGAGCCUUGAGCUCUUAGUGGCGCAGCUAACGCAUUAAGUUGACCGCCUGGGGAGUACGGCCGCAAGGUUAAAACUCAAAUGAAUUGACGGGGGCCCGCACAAGCGGUGGAGCAUGUGGUUUAAUUCGAAGCAACGCGAAGAACCUUACCAGGCCUUGACAUCCAAUGAACUUUCCAGAGAUGGAUUGGUGCCUUCGGGAACAUUGAGACAGGUGCUGCAUGGCUGUCGUCAACUCGUGUCGUGAGAUGUUGGGUUAAGUCCCGUAACGAGCGCAACCCUUGUCCUUAGUUACCAGCACGUAAUGGUGGGCACUCUAAGGAGACUGCCGGUGACAAACCGGAAGAAGGUGGGGAUGACGUCAAGUCAUCAUGGCCCUUACGGCCUGGGCUACACACGUGCUACAAUGGUCGGUACAGAGGGUUGCCAAGCCGCGAGGUGGAGCUAAUCCCAUAAAACCGAUCGUAGUCCGGAUCGUCAGUCUGCAACUCGACUGCGUGAAGUCGGAAUCGCUAGACUUCAG
rnacentral:rRNA from 1 species